rnacentral:rRNA from 1 species
AUACGGAGGAUGCGAGCGUUAUCCGGAUUUAUUGGGUUUAAAGGGAGCGUAGGUGGGAUAUUAAGUCAGCUGUGAAAGUUUGGGGCUCAACCUUAAAAUUGCAGUUGAUACUGGUUUCCUUGAGUACGGUACAGGUGGGCGGAAUUCGUGGUGUAGCGGUGAAAUGCUUGGAUAUCACGAAGAACUCCGAUGGCGAAGGCAGCUCACCGGGCCGGAACUGACACUGAUGCUCGAAAGUGCGGGUAUCAAACAGGAUUAGAUACCCUGGUAGUCCGCACAGUAAACGAUGAAUACUCGCUGUUUGCGAUACACGGUAAGCGGCCAAGCGAAAGCGUUAAGUAUUCCACCUGGGGAGUACGCCGGCAACGGUGAAACUCAAAUGAAUCGACGGGG